rnacentral:tRNA from 1 species
CCUCCCGCAGGGCGGGGGCGGUGGUCGUCCUCGGCUCCCGGCCGGGCGGCCGCGGCCCCCGCGGCCGCUGCUCCGGCCCUCGCGGGAGGGCC